CCCCGACGUAGCCCGUCGUAGGAACGACGUAGCGGCGACGGGGGAGUAUACUGAGGCCUUGAGGCCUUGAGGCCUUGAAGGGUGGGAUUCCCCCGGUCCGCACCAGUUAGGCGCCAGCCGAGUCGACCCGCGGCUCCCCUGCCCGCCGCGGGUCCGCAGCUGGGGAGAUCCGCGGGAAGGGCCCGGCGCGCGUCCAGAGUCGCCGCCGGCGGCCGCCUACCACCGACCCGACCCCGUCCGAAACCGACCCGCCGUCCGCGGCAGCGUCGGACACCGCUCCGCGGAGGAACUCACGCGACCCCCGAGGAGAAGGCCUCCCGGACCCGACCGCGCCUCGCGGCGCGGUGGCGGGCCCGGGGUGAGCCGGCCCCCCUCCCCAGCGACGAGAGCAACCCGCGAGGCGGGCCGCGCGGGUUUAUUUAGCGAACGGCAUCGUUACCCUCACUGUUGUAGCCAGGAGAGAUGCUGCAGCAACGUGGAGCUGACAUGCCUGGUGUUCUGGAUGAGGUGGCAGAUUACCUCAAAGACCUGGAAGCCAAACUGGAGAGUGUUUCCCUGCCGUCCCCAGCCAUCUUCAGUCAGUAGUGUGUGUCCGAUGCUCAGAUCAGGUUCUACACAAAAUUUCCAUCCGAGUGUGUGGUUAAGAUCUUUUGGGAACAUGGUGCACCAUCUGCUCCAUUGUUUUCUAUGAGAAUUGAAGUAUAAAUAAA